rnacentral:hammerhead_ribozyme from 1 species
AUCCAGCUGAUGAGUCCGAAAUAGGACUAAACACGCGCCCUGGAU